AUGAUCUCUCUUUCUUGCUGUUUUUUUUUUUUUUUUUUUUUUCUUGUAGUAACAGUUUGCAAUACAGAGCAAACCAUUCUUUUGCUGUGGCUUAUUAAAGAGAUGAACAGCUGGAUAUUAGGAAUAACUCUGGACAUACCUGUUUCAAGUGAACAAAAGCAAACAAAUACAGAAGUCUGUAACCCAAUAUAUUCUCAAGCACAAACUAAGCAGUUGAAUAUGGGAUCACUGCAGAGGCCAAGCUCUGGUUCAGGUUAUCAGACCACAAGAAACCACAUCAAGACCAGACAUAAGGACCAGAAAUCCUGGAUUCUGAAGUGGACACAGGAUAGUACACCUAUGACUGCAGACAGAGCUUAAGACCUGAGUAAGAUCUUCUUUGAAGCAUUCAGGACCUCUCUACAGUGUAAGACCGUGGAGUCACCAAAGGCCAAAGAUAUGGAAGAAAAACUAAGAUCUCCAUGGCAUACUGUGUCCUCAUGAAAUACAAAAAAGUGGAUGUCAAAAACUGAAGGAAGAGUCAGAGGGCUAAGAGACUUUCUCCUCAAGGUACUCUGGGCUUUAUUGAAUACUGUGUAAUUGUCCUGUGAAGACUGAUGGCAAGGUAACAAAAUGGGUAUAUAUCACUCAAGGAGCCAAAAAUUAAGGGUGGGAAUGGAGAGCGAACAUAGCUCCCCAGCAGUGGAAAAAGCUGGCAGAUAGCAUAUAAAACAGAGAUCUCUUAAAGUUCAUGAAACUUUUACAUUAUUUUGGAAGCCAUAUAAUACCAUUUGAAGGUAGACUUGAUUUUAAACAUCAUAUAGUAAUUUGUGGAGCAAAUCUAAAUAGACACAGACAUAACUAAAAAGACACUUUAAGUUAAAAGAUUAUUAAAAAUAGAUCACCCAAGAUAAGUAAGGAAGGAAGGCAUAUAGGAACAAAGAAGGGAUUAAUUAGAAAAUAAAUGUAAGCAGAAAACUUACGCUCGAUCAUAUCAACAUUAAAUGAAAAAAGAUUAAAUCUUCAAUUAAAAGGGAAAGUUUGGCAGACUGGAUGAAAAUGAAAAAGAAGAAAAACCAUAUAGUUCUCUGGGGUUCAUCCAAGAUGGGGACCUAGGAGAUUCCUGAACUCCCAGUUCAGUCUCACAGACACACUGAAUGUACAACUAUAAACAGCAAAUUCACCCCUGAAUGAAAUCCAGAAACUAGCUGAGAGAUUCCUACACAUUAAGUGAAAGAGAAAAUAUCCAUAUGGAAACAGGUAGGACAAGCAGAGACACACUCGCCAUCAAUCCCACCCUUGACACAAUGCCAUGUGGGAGGAAACCUGAGUUUCUCCCUGAAGAAUGAAAGGUUUGGAUUCCAGAUUUGGCACUUUGACUUUUAAGACUCCCACACCUGAGGAAUAGGCCCCAAAACACCUCGCUCUGAAAGGCAAUGAGGCUUGCAUCCAUGAGACCUACAAGACUACAGCAAACAAAGAAAGCAGUAGUUAUUGGACACACAAGCACUAGUAACUUCAGUCUACCAGGGUUCAGCAUAGAGGCAGGCAAAAUUGCUUAUUUCCCAGUCUUAUCCUAAAAAAGAGUGUAUUUGUGUACUUUGAAUUCUAUGGCCUGAGGGUCAUGCUUCUAAUUUAGUACACAUCUAGAGGCUGGCUGUGAUUCUCUUUGGGUACUGGGGAAACCAGGCAGACACCUCCUGUGUGGUCUUCAUCAGGUCAACUCCAUUUGGCAGUAUCUCCAUGGAAGGAGCACAUAUAAACAUCUGUGCUUUGACUUUUGUGGUGCCACCUGAAUGAUGGGACUCCUAAUCACCUGGCUGGGACAGCCAGUGUGACUUACAUACACAAGUUCCCUAGAAAUGUAGCAAAAAAGGAAGGAGUUCCUAACCAGCUAUUACCCCAGGGCUCAGGGAGCAAGCAAAACUUACCCAUUUCUCAGUCUUUCCCUGAGAGAGGUCGAUCUAUAAACUUUAAAAGCUUCUGCUUAAACAUUAAGCUUCUAAUAUAACAUGUGUGUAGUGGAUGGUUACAGUCCUCCCCACAGAGCAAGGAAGCUGCCAGAAAUAACUUCCACCUUCUCUCUCUAGCCUGUUCCAAGGCCUCAGUAAUGACAUGGAAGGAGAAUUGUUCCUGCUGACCAAGAGAUAGGCUUCAGUAUUUCCUGUCCCACAUAGCCAACGGGAUUUACAUUUAUGAGUUCCACAUGCCAAUGGCAAACGAAGCUGUUAAUGGCCACAGGAGUACCCCUUGCAGCUAGACACCCAGGCUCAGAAUAGAGAAGCAAGCAAAAAUACUCAUGUCCCAGUUUCUCCAUGGAAGAGUCUUAACUGCAUACUCUUACAGCUGAUGCCUGAGGGUCCUGCUUCUCCUCAGCCUUCUAGGUGCAGAAUGUGACCCUUCUCUUCAUGAUGUUGAUGAGUCUUGGCACACUGUCAUCUCCUGGGUAGUUGAACAGGGAAGACAUUUUAGAUGAUCACAAAAGUCUGAGAAACAACCAGGAGAUUGGACGGGGCUGAUUGAUGAGAUUCAUCUACACAAGACUACCUUGUCAAUACUGGAAUGUACAGAAACAAAAACAGAGUAAGGAAAAAUGAAGAAAUGAAGGAAUGUGUUGUAAUCAAAAGAACAAGAUAAAAUUCCAGAAACAGAUAUUAAUGAAAUGGAGAUACACGAUUUACCUGAAACUUUAAAAUAGCAGGCAUAAAGAUGCUCACUUGGUUCAGGAAAGAAAGGCAUGAAAAUAAUCACUGGGUUUCAACAAAGAGGAGAAAGAUAUUUAAAAAGUACCAAACAGAGACCACAGAGCUGAAGAAUACAAAAAAUGAACCAGACAGUUUAGAGGAGGGGUUUAAGAACAGACUAGACCAAGCAGAUGAAAACAGCAGUGAGUAGAAGACAGGGCAGUGGAAUUCAUCCAGUUAGAGGAGCAAGAAGAAAGAAAGAAUUAGAAAGAGUUAAGAUAACUUAAUACACAUUGUUUAAAACUCCUCUGUUAUUCUGAAACCAAUUUGGAAGGUACAGCUGAUAGAUACAGACUUCUACAAAGGGAAAAUAUGCAUCUGGAUUUUCACAUUUCUAUUAUAGUUGGCUAUCAUGUGUGAUCUAUGAUUUGUAUGAACCUGCCUUGAAAAGCCAACCCUUAGGUAAAACGUAUUUAGGUCACUGGAAUUUCACUGAAUAGGAGGAAGAGUGAUAAAGACCUGAACAUAUUGAUGAGGUGAAGAAGACCCAAGGAUGAGUGGGUCUUGGGGGAAAAAAAUAAAGACUAAAAUGUCGAGUGUUAAAUUCUAGAGUGCUUUCGGAGAAAGAAGACAGAAAACAUCAUCUCUUGAGUAUUCAACAAAUUCCUCUGAGAAGUUCGAACUAGCUCUCAAAGAUAUUAAAGAAAGUACGGUUAAUAAGGAUACAGAUUCAUCCUUGAAAUAAUAGAACACAAAAAGGAUACCAUUUGCAAGCUAGUAGAUUUAGUAAAGGUUAUACCUGGUAAAGGUAUUCUGUAUACUAGAUCAUUUGCUAGCCAAUAUACUUCACUUGGUUUAUCUCAUGACAUUGUUUUUACCAGGCUUAUAUACUGUUAUUAAUCCAUUUUCAAAGAUGAAGGAAUUGAAUUUCAAAAACAAUUUAACUGCCCAAGACCAAAAGCAUAGCAUAUUGUAGAGCUAGAAUCCAAACCCAGACAUUUUGUCUAAGUCCGGUUGUGGUGCAGACAGAGCAUCACUGAAAUUGCAUUCCUGUGUUUUGGACUUAAUAGAAAAGCAAAUGAAAUCAGAAGAUAGCUUAUAAACUGAGAAAAAAUGGGAAACAAAGUACAAACAGCAUUUUAGAUAGAAGUGAGAAAAGUAAAAGUAUACAUGAUUUUGAACAGAAAGGAAAUUGGGAUCCCUGGGUGGCUUGGUGGCUAAAGCGUCUGCCUUCAGCUCAGGGUGUGAUCCUGGAGUCCUGGGAUCGGGUCCCACCUCGGGCUCCCUGCAUUGAGGCCUGCUUCUUCCUCUGCCUGUGUCUCUGCCUCUCUCUCUGUGUCUCUCAUAAAAAAAAAUAAAUAAAAUAAAAAAAAAUAAAUAAAAUCUUAAAAAAAAAGAAAGGAAAUUUCACAACUCAAGUCAGUUUUGAAUAACGACUAGGCUUGUGUUGAUUAUUUUGAGUAAAGACUAGGUUGGUUUGGUUAUUGAAGAGGCAUGAGUGAAAAUUCAUAAACCUUGCUUUAACUAGAUCAUAUACUGCAGACACUUGAGAAGUGAAUCAAUCAAGUGAGGCUGACUAUAACAACAAGAGGGCAUGGAAGUUUAUAUUCAGUUAUUUUAAAAAUGUUGUAAAAAGAAAAGAAAGAUAAUGUUAAAAUGGGUUUAAGCAAGUCACUUCCUUAAAGGUUUAAGGUUUUGAAAUAUUCUCUGGUAUAAUUUAACUAAAAGUUACUACAGAAGAAAAUUGAGAUGCAUUAGAGGUUGUUUUAGUCUUUUGAGCUGCUAAAGCAAAAUACCCCAGACUGGGUAGGGUAGCUUAUAA
rnacentral:lncRNA from 1 species